UCCCUGGUGAUCCAGGGGCUAAGACUCCACGCUUCCACUGCAGGAGGCACAGGUUCGAUUCCUGUUCAGGGAA
rfam:TPA: Bos taurus chromosome 17, whole genome shotgun sequence.